GUUAACCUAGUAUAGCACACUUAAGCCUGCUACCCGCCAGAGAAUUACAAGUAAAAACUCGAAACUCAAAGGACUUGACGGUAUUUCACACCAACCUAGAGGAGCCUGUCCUAUAAUCGAUAACCCACGCUAUACCUCACCUGUUCUUGCACAAAACAGCCUAUAUACCGCCGCCUCCAGUCCACCUUGCAAAAGAACCAAUAGUGAGCAGACCCGUCAGCGCGAAAACGCCAGGUCAAGGUGUAGCAAACGAACAGGCAGAGAUGGGCUACAUUUUCUAAUUAACAGAAACCACCCACAGUAACAUGAAACCAUAUACCCAAAGAAGGAUUUAGCAGUAAGGCGUGUAAGACAUGCCCGCCUGAAGCCAG
rnacentral:rRNA from 1 species